rnacentral:rRNA from 1 species
UGGAGAGUUUGAUCCUGGCUCAGAUUGAACGCUGGCGGCAGGCCUAACACAUGCAAGUCGAACGGUAACAGGGAGCAGCUUGCUGCUCUGCUGACGAGUGGCGGACGGGUGAGUAAUGUCUGGGAAACUGCCUGAUGGAGGGGGAUAACUACUGGAAACGGUAGCUAAUACCGCAUAACGUCUUCGGACCAAAGUGGGGGACCUUCGGGCCUCAUGCCAUCAGAUGUGCCCAGAUGGGAUUAGCUAGUAGGUGGGGUAACGGCUCACCUAGGCGACGAUCCCUAGCUGGUCUGAGAGGAUGACCAGCCACACUGGAACUGAGACACGGUCCAGACUCCUACGGGAGGCAGCAGUGGGGAAUAUUGCACAAUGGGCGCAAGCCUGAUGCAGCCAUGCCGCGUGUAUGAAGAAGGCCUUCGGGUUGUAAAGUACUUUCAGCGGGGAGGAAGGUGUUGUGGUUAAUAACCACAGCAAUUGACGUUACCCGCAGAAGAAGCACCGGCUAACUCCGUGCCAGCAGCCGCGGUA